CCUACGGGGUGCAGCAGUGAGGAAUAUUGGUCAAUGGGCUUACGCCUGAACCAGCCAAGUCGCGUGAGGGAAGACUGCCCUAUGGGUUGUAAACCUCUUUUGUCAGGGAGCAACGCCCGCUACGUGUAGCCGGACUGAGAGUACCUGCAGAAAAAGCAUCGGCUAACUCCGUGCCAGCAGCCGCGUUAAUCCGGAGGAGGCGAGCGUUAUCCGGCAUUAUUGGGUUAAAAGGGUGGUUAGGCGGAAUGCCAAGUCAGCGGUAAAAUCGCGGGGCACAACCGCGCUCCGCCGUUGAAACUGGCGUUCGUGAGUGGGCGAGAAGGAGGCGGAAUGCGUGGUGUAGCGGUGAAAUGCAU
rnacentral:rRNA from 1 species